CCUAUAAGACUGGGAUAACUUCGGGAAACCGGAGCUAAUACCGGAUAACAUUUAGAACCGCAUGGUUCUAAAGUGAAAGAUGGUUUUGCUAUCACUUAUAGAUGGACCCGCGCCGUAUUAGCUAGUUGGUAAGGUAACGGCUUACCAAGGCGACGAUACGUAGCCGACCUGAGAGGGUGAUCGGCCACACUGGAACUGAGACACGGUCCAGACUCCUACGGGAGGCAGCAGUAGGGAAUCUUCCGCAAUGGACGAAAGCCUGACGGAGCAACGCCGCGUGAGUGAUGAAGGUUUUCGGAUCGUAAAACUCUGUUAUUAGGGAAGAACAAAUGUGUAAGUAACUGUGCACAUCUUGACGGUACCUAAUCAGAAAGCCACGGCUAACUACGUGCCAGCAGCCGCGGUAAUACGUAGGUGGCAAGCGUUAUCCGGAAUUAUUGGGCGUAAAGCGCGCGUAGGCGGUUUCUUAAGUCUGAUGUGAAAGCCCACGGCUCAACCGUGGAGGGUCAUUGGAAACUGGGAAACUUGAGUACAGAAGAGGAAAGUGGAAUUCCAUGUGUAGCGGUGAAAUGCGCAGAGAUAUGGAGGAACACCAGUGGCGAAGGCGACUUUCUGGUCUGUAACUGACGCUGAUGUGCGAAAGCGUGGGGAUCAAACAGGAUUAGAUACCCUGGUAGUCCACGCCGUAAACGAUGAGUGCUAAGUGUUAGGGGGUUUCCGCCCCUUAGUGCUGCAGCUAACGCAUUAAGCACUCCGCCUGGGGAGUACGACCGCAAGGUUGAAACUCAA
rnacentral:rRNA from 1 species